UUGCUUUAGCAGCACAUAUACUAAAACUAGAACAAUACAGAGAGGAUUAGCAUGGCUCCUAUGCAAGGAUGACACACAAAUUUGUGAAGCAUUCCAUAUUAAA